CCUUUGGUCAGUUGGAGUCACCUGUCCUUUCUGUGUCUCCUCCCAACCUCCCAUGCACCCCCAGUCUCCUCGCCAGCAUGGGAGGAGAGAGGGAGA